UGGUGACUGGAAUUUCUCCCAUCAAACA
rnacentral:piRNA from 1 species